GCCGGGCACAAAACACUCCAAAAGCGGCAGGGUUUUCCGUGUCAAAUCGCCAUCUUGGACGGGGCACGUUUUCAGAGGACUGGUGCCGAAUUUACGAAUCUGCUCGGGCCCUAUGUUCUAAAGCUCGUAGGAUUUUCGCUAGCUUCGGAAAAUAAGAUCGGAUGGCGGUAAGGCACAGACGGAAGAACAAGGUUUGAUUUGGUAUCAAACACGGCCAGAAUUUCGCGUGUUUCCUGCGCCUAUUCUUCAAAGGGAUACGGUCUUUCCGCGACUUUUCCCAAAAUGUCUUGAAUGCAGUUAUUUUGAGUCCCGAUUUUAUUUUUACGUCGAAAGAAUUUAUUGAAAAUCAGCAGGGUAGUCCGAUUCUUGAAUCCCUGAAUGUCUUCGCUAUGAUUUUUGUUUUGUAUAUUUCUCCUCUGUUCUCGCGCGAUUAUUUUUGAAACCUCACUCUAAUUUUCAAGUUUAAUUGUAAAUAUGCCAAAGAGGUUUAGUCUCGGAGAGUAAAUGCGAGAGGCUAAAUUAAAGUGACAGAAUGUGAUGGACUCUUCGUGAGAACUGCAGGACCUGGAGGAUGAGUUUUCUUCCUUUUAGCAAAGCAUCGCUGAGAAGAAACUUGAAAGCGAAGCGAGAAAAGCUGAGAAGGCUUAGCAGAAAGAUAAGUGAUAUCCUCAAUAGAAAAUAGAUAGCAGUAAUUAGGUUAUUAUAUUAUCAGGCUAUAUUUAAAUGUAAUCAAUAACCUUACUCUGCAUAGCAGUUAAAAAUAGGUAGGUAGAUUCAGACAGUCGUAUGGAAGGUAACAGUCAGGAAGGAGGCAGUCAGAAGGGGUUUUUAAAUGGAAAUGCAGUGUCUAUGAGGAGGAAGAAUCCGACAUGCUUCACUGAGGGAGGGAACAUGCUACCUGCUAUAGUGAUGCUAUAGUGGUGUGCAAGCUUUAAAAUAUCUUAGGGGUAAGAAUUACUGUUGACUACACCCAAAGUGCUGUCACUUAGGGUUACGCUACUAACGUUUACAUGUUUCCAUUAUUUCUCUGUUGUUUUUUAUCUUGCCUUGACAUACAUCCAGAACAUGUUUGAUGUACACACACUUUGUGUACAAGAUAUAAAUGUUGCAUCCAAACAUUUCUUGGUGGCUGAUUGCCAUGGCUCUAAGAGUCAAAUAAUAAAGGUAUGUAAUCCUGUAAAAAAUAGCAUGUUUGAUGUACUCUGAGGUGGAUUGUCUCCUUAAAAAGGUUUGUUAAAAGAUGUAAGAGGCUAAUUUGAUAGAAAAAAAAGAAUCUAUUUGUAAGCAUCCAAUGGUUAAAUGCUUUUUUUAUGAAUGAUAGACUUUGAUAGGUGAUGAAAUAUUUUUUUAAAAUAAAAUGUUUGAUUUUCUAUUAUCUUUAUUGAACUUUUUUUGUAAAUUAUCUUAUGGCAGCCUAAGACAGAGUUGGUAUACUUUCUACUUAUCCCAUUAUCUUUACAAAUGCUAAAUGCAGAUCUCUUAUGUUAUACAAUUACAAAUUACAG